UAUUGCAGCCAGUAGCACCUUGUAUUGUGAUCCUAGGAGACUUCACAAUUUGGUCCUAGCUAUUAUUUGAAUGGGAGACCUCCAAGGAAUACCUGGGAGCUGUAGGAA
ensembl:rRNA 5S_rRNA 5S ribosomal RNA